rnacentral:rRNA from 1 species
GAGAGAGACAUGCGCGCAUAUCAAUAAGCGGAGGAAAAGAAACUAACUAGGAUUCCCUCAGUAACGGCGAGUGAGGCGGGAAGAGCUCAAAUUUGAAAUCUUCAAGGUUCUACCUUGACGAAUUGUAGUUUAAAGAAGUGUUUUCUGUUGGAGUUUUGGUAAAAGUUCUUUGGAAUAGGACAUCAUAGAGGGUGAGAAUCCCGUAUUUGACCAUUAUUUCCAGCUUUGUGAUACACUUUCAAAGAGUCGGAUUGUUUGGGAAUGCAGUCCAAAAUGGGUGGUAAAUUUCAUCUAAAGCUAAAUAUUGGCGAGAGACCGAUAGCGAACAAGUACCGUGAGGGAAAGAUGAAAAGAACUUUGAAAAGAGAGUUAAACAGUACGUGAAAUUGUCAAAAGGGAAGCGUUUGACACCAGUGUUGUUUUCUCGAAAAUCAAUUAAAAAAGGCAGGAUUUUGUGUUGUAUUGACUUUAUCAGCUUUCUGCACUCUUUUCUUGUCUUUUUUAAUGCACUUUUCGUUUAACAAGUCAACAUCAAUUUCUUUUGUUGUAAAAGGGUCAUUGGAAGGUGGCUUUCUUUUCGGAGAAAGUGUUUAUAGCCUUUGGCCUCUGCAAUCGGAGAGAUUGAGGUCUGCAGCGUAGAUCCUUCGGGGUUAGAUACAUUUGUGCUAAGUUAUAGCCUUUCAUAGACAACUUGUUGACUAUGAUCAGUCAUGUAGCUUACUCGCUUAUGCUAUUUUACCUACGCUUAGGAUGUUGAUGUGAUACUGCGAGCA